ACCGCAGGCCAGGCAGUCGCGGGGGGGAAACACCACCCUCGAGGAAAGUCCGGACAUCACAGGGCAGGGUGGUCGGUAACGCCGACCCGGGGAAACCCGCGGGAAAGUGCCACAGAAAACACACCGCCCACGUCGGUGGCGGCCAGUUCCGCCACGGGCAGGCAAGGUUGAAAUGGUGCGGUAAGAGCGCACCGGCGUCGCGGUGACGCGACGGCCAGGCAAACCCCACCCGAUGCAAGACCGAGCAGGACCGUUCGCAGGUUGCCCGCCAAGGUCCAGGUCGGCCGCAGAGAUGGAUGGCUGCUCACGACAGAAUCCGGCUUAUCGGCCUGCUAAGGAU
rnacentral:RNase_P_RNA from 1 species